UUGCUUCAGCAGCACAUAUACUACAAUUGGAAUCAUACAGAGAAGAUUAACAUGGCCCCUGCAUAAGGAUGACAAACAAAUUCAUGAAGUGUUCCAUAUUUUA
ensembl:snRNA U6 U6 spliceosomal RNA